UCCAGAUGUUGUCGAGAGGCCCGCAC
rnacentral:piRNA from 1 species